rnacentral:tRNA from 1 species
GGAAGAUUAGCUCAGCUGGGAGAGCACCUGCCUUACAAGCAGGGGGUCGGCGGUUCGAUCCCGUCAUCCUCCACCA